CUCCACAGAAGUACAAUGUUUCAUCUUCUUCAGUAGCAUUUAGAACAGUCAGAGAGAUUCUGUCAUCUUUACACUUCGUUAUGAAUCUGGAGUUGUUGAAUGGAAAUGAAAAUAUUCACUACCACCAUGGUGUGCUGGUCAUUAGCAUGGGUCUGGCACUGGCUGUGUAUGUAAUCUGGAAUCUCACUAUGUGCUCCAGCAGCUGGACAAGGAAGAGCUGCAAAUGCAAAACAUCUCAAUCAGACGACAUCAAAGAGGGAGAGAG